AGCCGAGGUGGGACUUUCAUCAUCCAACAAAUCUUACGAAGGACUUCAAUAUUUGAAGUUAACCUCAUGAGUCUAUUGGGUUAGUCGGAAACGUAAUUUAUGACAUGUUUGUGAGUGAUUUUGGUCUUUACCAAAAUGACUUUUGUCGUGCCUUUUUCAGUAAAAAGUGGCGUGAUAAAACUGGACGGGUUUGAGAGUAAUUUUGGUAUUAUCAUAUAUGUCAUGCCCUUUUUAGUAAUUUCAGAGUAGGCAAAGCCUCUCCAAGAAUUAGCGAGGGGUGAGUCUAUCUAUUUUAUACAAUGCAUGCACUAGAUUGAUUAAGUUGAUCGUUUGUAAAAUGCAGCCUCUUGCAACUUGCAUGCAUAAACUGCAGCUUGAGAAGAUGGCAAUCAGCUUGCAAAUAUCAGAACCUUGGCUUCGUGAAUACCAGGUUCUUCCUUCGAGAACCCAUCCCUUCAUGCAGAUGAAUGCGUUUGGUGGAUACAUUCUAAGUGGGACGAAGAUAUGUGAUGUAGCCCAUCAGUAAGCAAUUUGAAGGUGCAGAUUCUAAUUUUAAAUCAAAUUUUGCCAUCACCUUCUUUUUCCUUUUAAUUAUUUCACAUAAAAACCAUAUUAUGAUCUAGACAUGAAUGACAUCUUAUCUACAUUUAGCUUUAUAUUUUUUUUUGGGUGAUUUUAUCAAAUCUCUUACAAAUUUAAUUCGUA